rnacentral:lncRNA from 1 species
CCGAGGGGGAAAAGCAAACGUGUAGGCAGCAGGAGUUGAGAGAUGGGAUCCAGACAAGGGCCUUCAGAUAUAUAAAUAUCCCUUUCUGAGACUGACGGGAACUUGGACAGGGCCGAAGAGUGACCGAGGCAUGCGGGAGAGAAGGGGCGCCUGGACUUUUGGAAGGAUAAACAUGCAGGCGCCAAAGGUGGCUUUAAAAAUUACGUUAGAUCUGCAACUGUUGUGAGUCUAAGGGCGCGAUUCAACGAAGGCUGAAUGGGACCCGGAGACCGAACGUUCCGGAGUCUUACCCCUUCACUUCGAAGUGAAGUGCCUCGAAGGCCCUGCGGGAAGAGGGAAUUGCAAUUAAGAGCAGAUUUGAAGCUUCAUCUCAUUUUGUCUCUGCAGCCAGAAAAUAAACUAUCGUAAAGCAUCCUACUGCGGGACACUGAGGUUUGCUUUUUGUUUCUAGGUUUAUUUAUUUAUUUUCCAGGCUGGCUGCAAGGCAACUUGAACAAAAUCUGGCUGCGCUCGGACUGGGGCGGCUCUUUCGUCUCUCCAGGUUUUUCGCGUCUCUCUACUUUCAGUGACACGACAACCAACGAUGGCAGGCCGCAGCUGCACUGCUGGAAGCGCCCAGUUCCGCAGGCGGGAGGGCCGGAGGCGGCCACGCAUUUCCACUCCCGGGGCGACAGGCUUCCGAAAGUUCACGUCCUCCUUCCAGAGUCCUUGGGUGCGGGCUGGGGCGAGAGGGGAGGGGGCGCGGUGACUGUCCCUCCAAGGAGCUGUCUUCC